ACUUAGAGGAAAACUAAUAUGACAUGUAAAUAAGUAUUAGUACGAUUCUUUAUACCAGUAGCAUACUACUCAACUCUGGACUCUAACCAAGUUUGCUCGAUUUCUAGGGAUACAGACUUUAUCAUCGUCGGGACCUCACAUGAUAAGAAUAUCUCCAAGAGUUCUUGAUCAAACCUCACUCCUAAUCUUUUUUGAGCUCUUUUACUGUGGUUGGGGGUACCUCUUGGUACCUCUUGGUUCCUAAUCAAAUUAUUAACUCUAAUUAAUUUAAAGAGUGGAAGGUUACUAUAGUAAUUACGCACCCCUCCCACACAACCCCUCCCCCGCAAGGCCGCCCAGCACAAUCGCAAAAAAAAGGCCGCAACCCACCGCUGCCAUCUCGCCCUCGCCGUCUCGUGCCGCCGUCUCGCCCUCGCCAUCUCGCGCCGCUACCACCGCCGGUCGGCCUGCGCCAUCACGUGAUGCCCAAACGCACACAUGGAAGGACACAACUCGCCGUGUACUCGCCCUCGCCAUCGCACACGCCGCCGCCGCCUCGCCCUCGCGCGGCCCCGCCGGUGGCCUGACCUCACCUGCGCUCAACGCUAAGGGCCCGUCGCUCCUACAGGCUUGCCCCCACCCGCGGCAUUGUGGCAGCUGCCGAGGAGUGCUUGGCCCUCGUCGGUCACUCCGUGCCCUCCGUCGACAGCCGCUCGCCACCGUCCCCGCCGUGGACAUCGCUCACGCGGUCGCCUCCGCGUAUCCCUUCUGGAGUUCAGCGUCCGCCCCCGUCUCCGUGGAGAACUCUCUGAACUCAGAAGGCCAAGGAGGAAAUGCCGGAUCUUGAGUCAUUGCUAGAGUACAAUGAAAUUGUUAGGAAGAUGUUUGCUAAUGAAGAAGAAGGAUUUCAGUUCUUUAACAACUACGGUUUAGAGAAAGGUUUUAGUGUGAGGAGAAGCUAUUGUGAGUGGGACAAUGGCCAUAAGGAGAUGACCCUUCGGAAGUUCGUUUGCAGUCGUCAAGGUUUCCGUGAAGAGAAGCAGCUGAAGAGGGCGAUUAAGAAGCGGAAACCGCGGAAUAUUACCCGUGUUGGGUGUCUUGCUAAAUUUGUGAUUGCACGAGAUCAGAUCACAGGGCAGUGGUAUGUGAAGGAUUUCAUCGAUGAACAUAACCAUCCGAUGGCGCCAACAGAUCUCACUUAUCUAUUGCGUUCACAUAGAAGAAUCAGCGACGAGCUCAAAGCUGAGAUUGUGGAGAUGGAGAGUUCUGGGGUGCGCAAACACAAGAUAAUGGAUAUUUUGGAAAUGCGGUAUGGUGGGUAUGAUAAGGUUGGGUGUAUAAUUUCUGCCACCGCUAUAAGGCAAAGACAAUUGCUGCCGGUGACACUCAAACGGUCAUUAGCUACUUGACGGAACUUCAGCGCAGAGAUCCUGAUUUCUUUUUUGAGUACAUGGUUGAUGGGGAAGGACACCUAAAGGGCCUAUUCUGGUGUGACAGUCAAUGUCUGCUUGAUUAUGAAGCUUUUGGUGAUGUCGUUGUAUUUGAUAGCACCUACAAAACUAAUCGGCACAUUUUAAUCACUGAAAAUUUUCAAUCUAGCACUACACUACAGCUAAUACUGUUAGUGAACUGGUUAGCAUAUCAGUAGUUCUAGAAAACUUGGUUUCUCCUAUGUUGCUCUCAUUUGAGCUGUUCAGACAAUUCAGUACCUCUAUAUAAGUUGUUGUGAAA